rnacentral:lncRNA from 1 species
UAUUAUUAUUAUCCUUGAAUAAGUUUAUUAGUUGAAUUGGAGGUAAAAAUGAUGGAUUUUGAAAUACGCUGAAUUGGCCCUUACUAACAAGCAAUUUAUGCCAUUCUACGAUGUCGUAUUACGUAAAGUCUUGCUUGAGAAUGCUCCGGGCAUGUGACUAUGGAAGGAAGAAUGAAAAUUACAAUAACAUAAACUUAAUUCUAAUAGAAUACUAAGAAUGCUCUAAUUAGACCAUAAUAAUACUAAGCAAGCUUAAUCAAAUUCAAAAAAACCUCAAAGAAAUUUCAGACAAAAAAUAAGAAUUCUUAAAAAAAUAUUAGAAAGUUUACAAAUAUCACUCAAAUACAUCUCAAUUCAAUCUUAAUUUAAUUCUAGUUAAAAUCCUAUUGAACUUUUCUUAAACUUUAAGCCAAAACCAAUUAAAUCUUAAAUCCUAAUAAAAUCCUAAAUCCUAAAUCAAACUCUAAACAAACCUUUAAUCAAACCCCAACCAAAUCCUAAACCAAAUCCUAACCAAACUCUAAACCAAAUCCUAAACUCUAAAUCAAAUCUUCACCAAAUUCUAAAUCCUAAAUCUAAUCCUAAUCUAACCUUAAAUCCUAAAUCUUAAAUCAAACCCUAAUCCAAAUUCUAAUCAAACCUUAAACCAAACCCUUAACUAAAUCCUAACCAAAACCUAAUCAAACUCUAAACCAAAUCUUAGUAAUUCCUACAACAGAUUUAAACCUCAAUAACUAAUGAAUAAACUAUCGAUCUUAAGUCAAAUUUUGCACACUUCUUAAAAAAUAAGUUAAAAAUAAGCAAAAAAAAAAAUUGAAAAGGAUUGGAGUUACCAAAUUGACGAUAACCUCAAAAAUGUACUCAGAUAUUGGUCGGCUUCCUUCUCCAAACUUGAUGCCAAUCUUCCAGUACCAAUAUCUCUCUUUUGCACAAUUCCAUUGAUCUCAAAAUUCUCAUACACAUUGAAAAACAAGUCUUAUAUACUCUCACAUAAGUUUCACUUUAAUUCAACUAGUAGAUUGUAAGAAAUCAUAAAAACCCCCACUAGACCUAAAAUUCUACUUUGUGAGACCUUGACCCAUCUAAACCUCAAUAUUCCUCAAUACAACCAUUAGAUCGAGCUCAAAUUUACGACACAUAUUAAACACAAGUAUAAACAUAAAUCCACAAAAUUUCACCUAUAGAUCUAUUCCAAAACUCUUGAAAUCGCCCAAAACAUAAUUCCUAUUUUUUUUUUCAUAAGACAUAAGUCAUCUGAAACAAUCCUUGACUUUGCAAAGCUAUUAUAAAGUCAUAACAACUUCAAAUCACUCAAAAUUAAUGCUCAUAAAAAACCUAUUUAUUUUACUAUCAAAUCUAUUUCUUCAAUCUCCAAAAGAACCCUGGAGUCGUCAUCGAGACUCAGUUUUGUGCCCCAAGGUCUGAUUUCGAUCCUAAUUCAUAACCGGCUCUCUCCAAGUACCAAUAUCUAGUUUUUUUAAGUAACUUUUUUCUAGAAUUUACUCUUAACUUCUUUCUAAAGAUUUCUAUAUCAUUUAUUUUUCCUAUCUACUUUACUUUACCUUACUUAUAAUACUACAAAGUAAGUAGAAGUUACCUUUCUAAAAGGCAGCAUUGAUACCUUUUAAUUUUUCUACCUCUUUGACUAUUAACUGUAUUUCUAAGAUAAUUUGUUCUAAUACUUUGAACUAAAAUCUCUUAAAUUACAAUAAUCUCCACACUCUUUCACCUAUUAGUCAUAUUACAUCAUAACAACAGGACUAGUUUUUACAAAAUCGACAGUUUCUGCUAUUGAGAAGGUACCCAAUGGAGUACCCAAUUCUUCAGUGUUUCUUCUACUUACAGUUAACGAGCUCAAGAGAUAUGCUGGGCUGUUGAUAAAAUUUCUUGCAAGUCCUCUUGGUAAUUUUUCUAAUGAUAUAUAUGUCUGAAAUAUUAGAAAUCGGUCAGCUUUUGGAUAUGCUCGGAUAUGUUGACAGGCAUGCAACCAUGGCUUAGUCCAACUUUGUCGCUUUCUUUUUAACUUACGUUCUUGCUCAUUUUGUAAUGAUUUUCUUGCUUGCGCUCUCUCUUGUCUUUCUUUCAACUAGCAUAUUUUCUUUACUGUAAUGUUCUCAUUCUUAAUAACCAUAAUCUUUCAUUUUAUACUACUGAAUUUGCUUUCUAUUUCCUAGCUACUCAUCCAGCAGUUAAUUCCUAACAUUCAAUGCUAUUGUCAAUCCUCGGCAGUGGUGCCAAAAUGUGAUUAUCAUUUUACUUAUCCUAUAAAUUCCUUUCUGAAUAAACAUGUAUAGGAGAAUUCAAAUAUAAAGAAAGACUAAGCGCAUGAGCUUUACUAGUUAGGAUCUCACAAUUAACUCUAAUCUGGACCACUAAAACACCAAGAAAUACUACAAUGCUUCCUUCUAGUAACAAUACUCCUUCAUCAACUGAUAACAACAGUGUCCAACCUUGCACUCUUAAAAGUCUGCUCAAAACUCAUAAAUUCCAUCCAACACCAAGAAUAACAGACUUCACUCCAACCAAUCUGGAUUCACAGAAUUUCUAUAUCACAGACUUUCUUUGUCCAAAACAUAAACAACUCUCAAUAAACAACAAUCAUAAUCUUCCAUCUAUAAUCAAUCUUCUAAUAAUUUCUUAUAUAAUUCAAUCACUCAAUUCUCCAACUACAUAAUCAAUAACUCAUAAAUCAAUCUCUGAUUUAUUCUACGAACUCACUUCUCAAUAUUCAAAAACUAUCCAUUACUCUUCAACAACAAAGAAAACAAAGAAAACAAAGAGGUAGCACCAAGCUUAACCCCGACUCAUGACUAUUACAGUCUGACAUCCUAACAAACUUCUUUAACUCCUAUAUAAUUGCUAUUGAUUUUUAGAACCUAAUUGUAAUCCUAUAAUAACCACUUUUAAUACCUAAAUCAAUCAUCCAUCCUCUUGAACUGACUAUUCUAUGGACUAUUAAUCUAUUUUAUCAAUAUCUUACAAAAACAAAUUAAUAUCUAGUCUAUAGAAAUUCUAUUGGUCAGUUCAAAAUUCACGUCGAAUUGUGAAGAUGAGUCUACAGAAGAAGAAAUUGGUGCACUUGACUCAAUUUAUGCUAAUACAAGGCAAGUUGUUGAGCACACUAGAAUAAAGUACCAGUGUAGGGGACUAGGAGAGUACUUAGUUCUUCCAGAUGUUAUUGACGAUUCUGAUCACAUGAUUGCAUAUUGGAUGAAUAGACGGGUUGUUAAUCAUGUUAGUGCUAUGGAACUAGAGUUGGAAAGUUUUAAUGUGUCGAAUUUUAUGAAAGAUUUUGAAUUGAGCAGAACAUUAUUCUAGAGACUCCUGAAAUUCCAUGAUGUCAAUCAAUUAAUUUAUGUACAUGGGAGGCUCUCCAAAUCAUUCAGAUUUAUGACGAUAUAAAAAGCAAAGAGAAAGAAAUUUAGGUGGAUUACUUUUUAAUGCAUAAAACUACUUUCUCAUGGUCAUAUGUGGAUUUGAAAGAAAUUUCAGCUAGAGAUUGUGAGCAUCGAAUUAUGUUAGAGGAGAAUACUACACCAGUACGCCAAAGACAACAUCGACUUAAUCCAAA